GGGUAAUUCAGUGUAUAAAUAUGAGCAAUUAUUAUCUCUACGUUGUGGGAUAAGUAAUGAUUUUUCCUACAUUUGUUAAUUCUCUUACAGUAAAACUUCAAUACUUUUAUGACCGUUAGUGGGAGGUAAUGUCCCACACAGAUCCCAUUUAUCAAGCCAGUGCGCCCACCCCCCAGCCCCCUCUGCUAAAAGCUUACACCCUUCUUCCCAAUCCUGCCCUGGGAGCUCCUACCAUCCGCCUCCCCAAGCCUGACUGACACGGAGUGGGAAAGGGAGCCCCUGCCUCAGUGGGACAAGUCAAGGUGCAGGGCCCCUGUGGGGUCACAGCAUCCUUGUGAGCUCCUCCCUGGCUUCCUGCUUUCCUCAGCCUGCCCCCUCCUGAGAGCACUGGCCAACAGAACCCUUGCACAAGACCCUUGGGCUGGGCCCUGCUUCUAGGACCCCCGCCCGUGCCAGGCAGGGCCCUUUUCUUCCCAUCCUUCGUAGACACCCCGGAGCCGUUGUUCUCAGGUUACAGCCCCUGCUCCCAUCCAUUUUAUUUGUGCUAUGAAGCAACUGCUUGAAGGUUCAAAUUCCCAGGCUUACUUCUUGAAAUAAAAGACUAUAAAUUUUAUUUCAGGAGUGGCAAAUUCAAAUUCUCCCAGGAUAAGGCGGCAAUGUCAGUAUACGAGGCCCACCUAGUGGGGACAUAGGCAAACUUUCUCAGAUGGCCAUUGUUCAGCCUUAGAAGUUACCCACAAAUUCCACAUUAUCAGAUCUCCUCACUUGAGCUGCUGCAGGAAGAGCUCCACAGCAGGUCUACUGGCUCCUCGAAGCUACAGAAGGGAGCUGUGGUGCUGGCACCCUCGCUUUCUUGAGUUGUCUUAACAGAAUAAAGGGCAUGAACUUAACUAGUCUCUAAUAAACUGUGUGAUGGUAAAGUUUAUGAGUUAAGCUGACUGGGUUAAGGGAUGCCCAGCGAGCUGGUAAAACAUGACUUCUGGGUGUGUCUCUGAGGCUGUUUGCAGAAGAGAUUAGCAUUUGAGUCUGUAGACUGAGUAAAGAUUGCCCUCGCCAGUGCAGGUGGGCAUCACCAGAUCUAUUGAGGGCCCAAACAGAACAAAAAGGCUGAGGAACGGCGAGUUUGCUCUCUGCUUGAGCUGGGACACCGUCUUCUCCUGCCUUCCGGCAUCAGUGCUCCUCUGGCCUUCAGGUUUGGAUUGGAACUACACCACUGGCUUUCCUGGGCCUCCAGCUUGCAGACUUCUCAGCCUGCAUAAUCUCCUGAGCCAAUCUCUCAUAAUAAAUUUCCUUCUGUGUGUCUCUAUAUGUCCUAUUGGUUCUGUCCUCUGGAGAAACUUGAUGUAUGCGGGCUGUAUCCAUUAGCUUUUGCAAUAAUAUUGUUGCAAAACAAAACACU
rnacentral:lncRNA from 1 species